CUGGCACAGCCGCUGGGAGGUCUAUCUGUCUCGCCCCUGGUCCUCCUGUUGCUGGGGGCUCUGCUCUUCGUGGUGCUGGCCCUGUUAGUGGGGCAGCUGAUCCAGAAUAGGAAGCUGAGGAAAGCCCUAUCUAAGGGAGCACUCGCCCCCUAUCAUGAUGCAGUCUACAAGGAAAUAGAGUACAAACUGGCCAGAGAGGGAACCUACAGCACCCCCAGGAGAGGGAGAUUCCUCUCUGACGAGCUGCUCUACGGAUACGAUGAUGUGGAAGACAGUGAGGGAGACCCAGUACCAGGAGACUCGAUAACCUCUCUGAAAGAAGAGAUCCCAGAGUACUAUGAUGAUGCUGUAACUGUACCUCAGAGUCCAGAUGCCUU